AGUAUGUCAGUCUAUGCAGCCUUUGUGUGAGCAGGUGGACCAGUAUGGGAGUCCACUCUCACUCCUCCUCCCUAGGGCCCAAAACAUAUCCAGUCACAGGCAACACAAAAAUAUAAAUAUUAAUCUCAGGCUGGUGAGAGGGCUCAGUGGUUAGCAGUGCUUGCUGCCAAGCCUGAAGACCCAACCUUGAUCCCUGGACCUUCAUGGUAAAAGGAGAAAAUUGACUCUGGCAAGCUGUCCUCUGACACCCCCAUGCACACCACAGCACACACACACACACACACACACACACACCAACACUGAGUAAACAAAAGCAACAAAACUUUUGUUGCUUUUGGAAAACAAGGGUGUCAUGGAAGAACAGGAGGCUACUUAACUCUGCACCUUUAGAAGGAAUCUUCCAGAAGGCACUGCUCAGUGUGAGUUCUUAUAGUGGUUGAUCUUGACUGUCAACCUGGCAGGAUUUAGAGUCACCAUGGAAACAAAUACGAGCCAUGUGAUGGGGUUUCUGGAUUAGGUUAACUGGGCUGGUCUUAAUUGCGAAGGUCUUCCACCUAACCUGUAUGUGAGCAAUACCACCCCGUGGUCUGGAUAAGCAAACCAAGCAACAGCAACCACACCUCUGCUUCCUGAUUGGAUGCCAUGUGACCAGCUGCUCAAGCUCCUGCAGCUGUGACCGUAGCCUGAACUGGGGACCCAAAUCAUCUUUAAUUGCAUUAAUUGCUUUCAUUAGGUUCUUUGUCAUGGCAGGACAAGUGACUACUACAACUUCCCCUCGUCCACCUUGCCUCCUGCUCUGUCUACACCUAGCUCUUUUGUUAAUGCUGUUU
rnacentral:lncRNA from 1 species